UUUAACUUAGAGAACUCUCAAACCUCAGGUCAAUGUAUGGGGUGGAGGUGGGGCUUUUGCCUAUAGGAAGGAAUCCCCCUGCCACUUUUGCCAUUGUAUUAAUUAAUAUCCCUGACAAGAUAGAAUUCCCCGAACAUGGAGGGGGUGAAAAAAUAGUGACCACUGAGAUGAUAUUCCAUUUCUGGCCCCUGGGGGGAAUUGUUGUUGUUUAUUUCUUUUCAGAGGAUCAAGAUAGUAUGAACUUUAGGGAGUGCUGUAAUUUACUGGAGGGAAGGGAUACAAGACUCAGGGCCCCAGGCAAUAGGUGGGAAACUAGAUCUCAAAACAGAAAAUGAAAAGUCGAUCUGGGGUAAGAUUUUUAAAUAAGUGGGUCAGAGGGACCGAGAGGAGAUGAGGCGAUCAAUCUUAGCCCCCUGACAGCUCCCUCGGAUGGCAUCAAAGAAUUUGGCUCUUUGGGAAAGCAGAGGGAACAGCCGAAAUUCCACAUCCCUUUAAAAGGCCUGGGGAUGGGGGGUGUUAGCAAAAGAGAAGGGUGAUUCUGGGAGAGCAGGGAAACAGAUGGGAAAUGGGGACAGAGGAAGGGCGCUGGGUUGGGUGGAAAGUUUGUCUGGAGAACUCCCACGGCUCUGGCCUCCCCUCCCCCUCCUUGCUCGCUGCCUCCUAGAAAGAAGGAGAAGGCUGGUUAGCAGAGAAAUGGCAACUCGGCCGGGAGCUGGAACUAGAAACUUUCUGUCAAUGUAACAGACGCGUGGGUGGUGACCCAAUGGUGGUUGGGCUUCGGGUCACGUGACGACUUCUUUGUCGCUCCGGAAGAGAACUGUGAAGUUUAGGUUGCCUGUAAGAAGCAGUAAUGGGAGAAUUGCCAGGAAAAAAAAAAAAAAUCAAGAUUUGGGGGAAUUACCCACAUAGACGGAAGGUGUGUUAACUUGGGUGCUUCUUGGAUUCUACCCUGAGGAGGAGGCGCAUGGUUCAGCAGGUUGGCCAUCUCCACGCGGCGCGGCCGGCACAGGUAGCGGUUGAAGUGGAACUCCUUCUCCAGCUCCACCA